rnacentral:rRNA from 1 species
UGGGGAAUUUUGGACAAUGGGGGAAACCCUGAUCCAGCCAUCCCGCGUGUGCGAUGAAGGCCUUCGGGUUGUAAAGCACUUUUGGCAGGAAAGAAACGUCAUGGGUUAAUACCCCGUGAAACUGACGGUGCCUGCAGAAUAAGCACCGGCUAACUACGUGCCAGCAGCCGCGGUAAUACGUAGGGUGCAAGCGUUAAUCGGAAUUACUGGGCGUAAAGCGUGCGCAGGCGGUUCGGAAAGAAAGAUGUGAAAUCCCAGAGCUCAACUUUGGAACUGCAUUUUUAACUACCGGGCUAGAGUGUGUCAGAGGGAGGUGGAAUUCCGCGUGUAGCAGUGAAAUGCGUAGAUAUGCGGAGGAACACCGAUGGCGAAGGCAGCCUCCUGGGAUAACACUGACGCUCAUGCACGAAAGCGUGGGGAGCAAACAGG